rnacentral:rRNA from 1 species
AACGAACGCUGGCGGCAUGCCUAACACAUGCAAGUCGAACGAGACCUUCGGGUCUAGUGGCGCACGGGUGCGUAACGCGUGGGAACCUGCCCUUAGGUUCGGAAUAACUCCCCGAAAGGGGUGCUAAUACCGGAUAAUGUCUUCGGACCAAAGAUUUAUCGCCUUUGGAUGGGCCCGCGUUGGAUUAGCUAGUUGGUAGGGUAAAAGCCUACCAAGGCGACGAUCCAUAGCUGGUCUGAGAGGAUGAGCAGCCACACUGGGACUGAGACACGGCCCAGACUCCUACGGGAGGCAGCAGUGGGGAAUAUUGGACAAUGGGCGAAAGCCUGAUCCAGCAAUGCCGGGUGAGUGAUGAAGGCCUUAGGGUUGUAAAGCUCUUUUACCCGGGAUGAUAAUGACAGUACCGGGAGAAUAAGCUCCGGCUAACUCCGUG